rnacentral:rRNA from 1 species
AUGAUGGAGAGUUUGAUCCUGGCUCAGGACGAACGCUGGCGGCGUGGAUUAGGCAUGCAAGUCGAACGGUAGAUACCUUUCGGGGUAUUGAGAGUGGCGAACGGGUGAGUAACACGUAGAUGAUCUACCCUCAAAUGGGGGACAACCCAGGGAAACUUGGGCUAAUACCGCAUGAGUGCAGCGCAUAAAGUAUCUGAAGGAUUGGGUAUUUUAUGCGCUGUAUCAAAGAUGGCUUUUGGGCUGUCGUUUGGGGAUGAGUCUGCGUCCUAUUAGUUAGUUGGUGGGGUAAUGGCCUACCAAGGCGAUGAUAGGUAGGCGGCCUUAACGGGUGGCCGCCCACACUGGGAUUGAGAUACGGCCCAGACUCCUACGGGAGGCAGCAGUCGAGAAUAGUCUACAAUGGACGAAAGUCUGAUAGUGCG